rnacentral:rRNA from 1 species
GAUGAACGCUGGCGGCGUGCCUAAUACAUGCAAGUCGAGCGAACAGACGAGGAGCUUACUCCUCUGACGUUAGCGGCGGACGGGUGAGUAACACGUGGAUAACCUACCUAUAAGACUGGGAUAAAUUCGGGAAACCGGAGCUAAUACCGGAUAACAUUUUGAACCGCAUGGUUCAACAGUGAAAGACGGUCUUUCUGUCACUUAUAGAUGGAUCCGCGUCGCAUUAGCUAGUUGGUAAGGUAACGGCUUACCAAGGCAACGAUGCGUAGCCGACCUGAGAUCGUGAUCGGCCACACUGGAACUGAGACACGGACAAUACUCCUGCGGGAGGCAGCAGUAGGGAAUCUUCCGCAAUGGGCGAAAGCCUUACGGAGCAACGCCGCGUGAGUGAAGAAGGUCUUCGGAUCGUAAAACUCUGUUAUGAGGGAAGAACAAAUGUGUAAGUAACUAUGCACGUCUUGACGGUACCUAGUCAGAAAGCCACGGCUAACUACGUG